rnacentral:rRNA from 1 species
GACGAACGCUGGCGGCGUGCUUAACACAUGCAAGUCGAACGAAGAGCGAUGGAAGCUUGCUUCUAUCAAUCUUAGUGGCGAACGGGUGAGUAACGCGUAAUCAACCUGCCCUUCAGAGGGGGACAACAGUUGGAAACGACUGCUAAUACCGCAUACGAUCUAAUCUCGGCAUCGAGGAUAGAUGAAAGGUGGCCUCUACAUGUAAGCUAUCACUGAAGGAGGGGAUUGCGUCUGAUUAGCUAGUUGGAGGGGUAACGGCCCACCAAGGCGAUGAUCAGUAGCCGGUCUGAGAGGAUGAACGGUCACAUUGGGACUGAGACACGGCCCAGACUCCUACGGGAGGCAGCAGUGGGGAAUCUUCCGCAAUGGACGAAAGUCUGACGGAGCAACGCCGCGUGAGUGAUGACGGCCUUCGGGUUGUAAAGCUCUGUUAAUCGGGACGAAAGGCCUUCUUGCGAAUAGUGAGAAGGAUUGACGGUACCGGAAUAGAAAGCCACGGCUAACUACGUG